UGCAUUCACUACUGUAAGUCAAUCUGGAUAAGAGCGUCUGCUAAAUGACUAAAA
rfam:Salmo salar isolate Sally breed double haploid chromosome ssa09, whole genome shotgun sequence.